rnacentral:lncRNA from 1 species
CAUAGAUUCAUGGGCAACAUGUGCAGUCCAAUCUCAGAUGUGGCCAAGAAGUUUCUAAGCAGAGAAAAACGUUCAAGAGAGCGAAACCCAGAACUGCCAUAAAUAUUCAUCAAGGAAAAUCUCUUGAGUAGCAGAGCAGAUACUUUUCACAUGCAAAGGCCUAUAGGGAUAGAGGAGUAGAAGAUGAAAGAAGUGUGGUUUCCUGACAUGAUUAAGCUACUAUAAAACCUGGAAAUGCCCUGGUAUGUUAGGUGAGAGGUAAAUAUAUCUCUAUUUUUAAGCCACUGUAUAUUGGGGUCUUAUAGUUCAUAAUAUUUGAUGGAUCAAUAACAAACUAUGACUCUCCAAAUUUGAAACAUUGCAUGGAGAAAAAAAAAGACAUUUUGAAUAACAACCUGUCUGCUCUUUUCAUUGUUUUCUCACCCUGGCUCACUCACUGCAGCACUAGAUGAUUUAGACUUAACGCAUCGGGCACACAGCAUUCACUCAAUAAGUGUUUGUUGAACGAAUUCAUUUUCAAAUUUCCGUCAUUCAUUAUUCACCAUUCUUUCUUUCCAGAGACAAGAAAUUUGCCUUGAGAAAGUUUUAUAAUCUCCGUAGAGUUGCAACAAUUUUAAUAUUAUUCCUAUGCCUUUAUCAAAGCACAAACAUAUGAGCCAAAUUGGCCUCAUGGAACAAAAUGAAAUUAGCUUUUGACAGAGCAAUUUCAAAAUAAAUUACCCCAAACAUGCUCUUUUCUCUUUUGUAAAUGCAAAGCUCUGUUGUUGAACAAAUAUGCUUCUGUGCUUUGGUGAUGAAAUCUAUUUGAUCUGCCUCUCCUUAAGUUUUAGCUAUCAUUGUGCUCAGAGCUAGAUUUGGGGCUCAGUUUCAAUAGCAUCUUAUUAACUACACUCAUUCAUUUUUUUAGCUUUCUGCAUACAUUGUUGGGAGUGCAUCUGAGAAGGAGAAAUUAGGUAUACAGAAGCAAGGGAAUGCUGGCCUAGCAUGAAGAUGGGCCACAUCAUGCCCAGCUACCAAGGGAAGAACAGGCUUCAUCACAAGAUCUCCAAGCAUCCAUGAUUUGACUUGUAUCAUCUUAUACAUUCUUACUAUGUAUUAUGUGAUUUUAUAGGAAAUAUAAUAUAAAUCAAUAUAUAACUUCAUAUUCAUGUUAAUAUAUAGCUAUGUCUUUAUCCAAACUAAAAUAUAAAUUAUACUUUAAGACAUUCCAAAAGAUUUAAUAGAGUUGGUAGAAAUUAAAUAGCUAAUAAAUAAAUACUAGUCUCAUUUUCCCUAUGCAUAUUUUUACUUUUAAAUUUUGAUUAAAAAGAAAAAUAUUAAAAAUAAUAUUGAUAGAAAUACAUCUGGUUAGUCCUACCUAUUAAUUUUUUUUUUUUUUGAGAUGGAGUUUUGCUCUUGUCUCCCAGGCUGGAAAACAGUGGCAUGAUCUUGGCUCACUGCGACUCCGCCUCCCAGGUUCAAGCGAUUCUCCUGUCUCAGUCUCACAAGUAGCUGGGAUUACAGGCACCCGCCACCAUGCUCAGCUAUUUUUUUUAUUUUUAUUAUUUUUUUAUUUUUAGUAGAGACAGGGUUUCACCAUGUGGCCAGGCUGGUCUCAAACUCCUGACCUCAGGUGAUCCGCCUGCCUCGGCCUCCCAAAGUGGUGGCAUUACAGACGUGAGCCACUGCGCCCAGCCAGUCCUACCUAUCAAUUUUUACAUAAAUGAUACUGGCCAGAAAGAAUAAAGCUGACAGGAUAAAAAGUAAGGGUACAAUUAAAGGAUACAAACAAAUGUAAUGUAAUAAAUGAAUAGAGAAGUUUCCACAUAUAGGCUGUUAUGAUGCUCUGCUUAGUCUUUACUUGACUGUGUUCCAUAUGCAUCAUAUAGAAAGUUCUCUUCUUGUUACUCAUUUUUCUCUUUGUGCUUUACUAAAUAUAAUUUCUAUUGUAUUCUCUUUCAGUUCAUAGGUCUUUUUUUCUACUGAGUUCAUUAUUUAUUUCCUGUGAGUAUCUGUCCACUCCUGUGUUAACAGGUGAAAGGCAUGAGAGGUCACCUCAAUGUCAUAGUAAAAUGUCUGUUUCAAUAACAGGUCACAGCGAUUAGCUUUGAAGAUGUGACUUUGGUAUACAUGCUGCAGGGUUCUGCUUUAAGGAGGACUAUGCCUCUCAAUAUUUCACACUGCCUUUCAGGUCCAGCCCACGACCACUGAGGUAUCAACUUCACUGGACUUGGCAGAUCUUUGUUACAUCUUCCUGGAAGUUCUAGCCUUUGCAUAUUUUGAGUUUAGCUUAUUAGAUUUUAACCACAUGUGGCUUCAUAACCUGGCAAAUGUCUGGAAGGAAAAACAUGUCUUAUAUAUGUUGAAGGUUUCUCUUUCUAGUCCUUGUCUCCUGUGCAUUUUAUAACAGUGGGGUAGCACUGAGGCCAUUGGUCAAUUAUGCAGAUUUCCCAGAAGCAGUAGAUCUGAGUACUUGUUUUCCUGGUGAGCACAGUCUACCACUUGGGCCACACAGAUCCACUUUCUAAGCAGUGUUAGAGAAUAGCUCC